GAGUGAUUUUUUGGGGACAAUAAGAUUAUAGGUUAUUUUUUUCCUCCCUGAUUCUCUGUUUUUUCUCCUUCCUUCUUCCUUCUUCCUUAUCCCUCCUUCUUCCUUCUUCCCCUUCUCCUCCUCCGUCUCCUUCUUUGUCUUCUUCUUUAAGCAUGCUGCUUGUAUAAUAAUAAAAAAAACUAUCAGAAACCCAGAUCCAGACCGAGGAGACUCACAGUCCAGUGGGAGGUCAGCACAGGGAAGAUAGAAGCCACCUCUGAAUAUGGGGGUGUCUGAGCCCAUGUGAGCCAUGGAGGGACCCUGACACUGGACUCAGGUCCCACUGUCUCCCCACACCUGCCCUGACCACCAGCCAAAAGCCUUCCUUCUCUCGCUGUCCCUCUUCUGAACCCCACAUGCAAGGCUGGGCCCACCACUCAGAGGCAUGUGCUUGGCUUAUCCUGCCUUGUGACAUUGUCCCUAUUGUUACCCAACAAUCCUAUUUUACCUUGAGCAAGGAUGACACACACAUUUGUGACUCAUCCCAUUUGUUCUGCCCUCUCCCAGCUCUGGACUUCCGGUGGCACUGACUGUCCCUGCCCUGGCAAGUACCACAACCUUGCUCUGCAGCUAGUUUUCACAUGGGCACGUCCUAUCGCCCGUGUAGACUGUCGGCUCCAGGGAGGCUGAGAUUGCAACUUAGGACGGCUCUGUUCCUAGUACUUAAUGUGCUCAUUCACGUAAUCCUUGCAACAGCAACAAGGCAAGUACAAUUACUUCCAUUUUACACGGGAGGAAACUAAAGCCCUGAGAAGUUGAAUGCCCUCUGGGGUUGCUGCAGAGCUGGGAUGUGCACCCAGGCCUCUGAGCUCUAACAUCCAUGAGCUUAACUGCUGCCCCGCUGCCCCGUCCUGCCCCGAGUGGGUUCUGGAAAGGAUUGCAACAACUUCCAAAGGGGACAAGGAACCCUCGUGUUGGAGCAGGUUGGAAACCCCCGGGCUGGGCUGUCGAGGCAGUGUGUCAUUCUCCUGUGCAGAGAGGAGUCAUGAGGCCUGAGGUCAGGUUCCAGCCCCUCUCCGGGCUGGCUGGAUGAUCUUGGGGGCUGCCCCGUGUGACUUGGAGAGCUUUGGUUUCCUCAUCCGGGAACAGAGAACGUGAAAAUUAUUUGGCAGGAUUGUCAAGAAGAUUAAAUGAGAUCGUGAAAGGGCUUUCCAACUGUGAAGUGUCGCUCAAAUGUAAGGAUUGUUUCUGUCCUCUUACACACGUUGGCAGCUUCUUGAGGGCAGGUGUCUUCUGUGACCCCUCCCACCCCCACCCCCUCCGGCGCUCAACGCAGGGCUGUGGAGAUAACCUGGGAAAAACACCACAAAGUGACUCGCACAGGGGUGUAGCACGUGGGAGUUGCUUAACAAGUGGUAGCUGAUGCGUACACGCGUGCCGUUGCACAGACAGAAUAGGGGGAAGGCUCAGAGUAUGGACUCUGGUUUGAAUCCUCUCGCUGCCACUUGCUAGGUUGGCGAGUGUGGCCCUGGGCGAGGUUAGCGCUAAUCUACCCUCGUGUCCUCAUCCAUCACACAUGGCUGAUGAGAAUAAUGGCUAGUUCAUGGGGGUGGUUGUGAGAACCCGAGGAGUUCAGUCUAUGGAACACGACCAGGCACAGAUCGAGCCCUCAGUAGGCAUCAGCUAUUGUUACUAUUUGACUGUUGUACACUGAGCGACUCUUCAGGAGGUGAUCUGAGAAGAUCGCUAGACUGGAGAGUGGGACACGUAACUCCUGGACUUUGCUCAGAGUCGGCAAGGCCUUCAAAGCCAGUUAGAUGUCACACCAGCCUCUUGGGGUCAGCGCAAGUCAUGUAACUGUGAGUAGGCUUGGGCGUCAUCUCCCCCCGUGUGGGCUAGACCCCUGGACCAGGCAUUGUUGGAUAAAAAGUGUGUGUAUUUAACGUUUGGAUAAAUAUCACAAUGGUCCAUCAGGCGGACGUUUCUGUUUGUGCUCCCUUCCAUCAGAACAGGAGGGCCUGUUUCCAUAUACCCCAACCCACCCACAUUUUUAAGUUUAAAUUUUAUUAAUUUUUUGACUAGAUAAUAUUUGCACAUGGCACAGAAUUCAAAAAUCCACCAAGGGGCAAACAGUGAGAAGUCCCGUCACCCCUGACCCAGCCAUCCAGUCCUCUCCCCAGAAACCCCAACUUUGAUCUCAGCCUGUCUGUAAAUGGACAAGGGUAUCUGACUGAAUAAAUCUCGCUAUUAUUUUUAGGUGAAAACAAGCCAGAAUAUAUUUUGGAGUAGAGUGUUGCAUUUCAAUGAACUUUAAGAUAAAACAGGAGACUUCAAAGACAUUUUAUGCUCAAGGGUGGGGCAGGGCUGGGAGCUGCUUCUGGCUCUGCCUCCUACCUUCUCUUGGGGGAAAAUUUGGUACAGUUCUGAGUUCGUCUAUAAAGUGCAAGCUCGCAGAUGCCCCUGGCCCUCUCGAUUACAUUGAGGUUCUCCUCAUCACCCUGGUCACUUGUAUACAAUCCAUCCCUUGUGCCUCUUCCUGCCCUUGACUUGGCCGCCGCCUUGCUGCCUGACCUUGAGGCGGUUGCCUCCAUUCUGGGCUCAGUUUUUCUCACUUGUAAAAAGAGAGCUUGGACUAGGCCCAUUCCAGGUGUAACAUUCCAGGGCUGGUCAACUAAUUCACAUUAAGGUGUGGAUGACUGAUAACGGCUUAAUGCAUUACCUCUCCUGUGGGUGGGAACAUUUUAAGAGAUGCAAUUUCUCCUCCCAAAAGAGUGAACAUGCAUAGUGCAAUUUCAGGCAUGGUCACAGUGGGUGGGAAUGAUGUGAGGGGAGGGGGCGCCUUUCCUGGGAUUGCUCCAGUGGGCACUGGGGUGGAGGGUGCUGUUCCAGCCAGAGGCGGUGUCAGCCCUGAGGGCACGUGCCUAUUGGUUUCCCUCCAGAACUCACACCACGCUCAUUUCUCUCUGGCGGAGGCCAAGAGCAGGGUUUUGUUAUACUGAAAAAUGCCUCAUCAGGGAAACCCAUGUGUGUGGCCUGGAAAACUAUCCUGUCUCCUGGGGCGAGGGGAGCGGUGGGAGUGUUUGAGCAGCUUGACUUCCAGGUUCGCAGGUCAGUUCUCAUCCUGGCCAAGUGAGGAGACCUCCGCCCGAGGGCCAUCAGCUCUCUGCCAGAGCAGGUGGUCCCGCCACACCUGGAUCCAAGACAUCUGCUUUUUACCCAGGGAGAAAGGCUGUGCCAAAUGCUGUCUGGUUUCAUUUUCUGUAGGAGGUUUGAUUUGGCUUCUGAAUUUUCAGGGAGGGUGUGAGAGAGGGGGUGGCCCGCAGCCACCGUUAGCCCACAGAAGGAAGAAAAGCAUUUCUCUGGCUGAUGAAUUCUAGGCCCGCUGGCCUUGUACAGUGCACAGUGCUGUUGCCCAGCGCAUCUUCCUCUCCAGCCCCCUUUGGGGCACCAUUUUGUCCCACCCGCUGUCUGGGCACCCCUUCAGUGGAGGCAGCUGGGGUAGUCAGUCUAUUCUCCAGGCAAAACUGUGGUAGAUGAGAAUGGAAACCAGGGGCAAUGGUCAGUGGUUCACACUCUGUUGGCCAUGCUGAGAGCUCAGAUAAGACCAGGGAUGGACCCACCUUGUCAGAAUCUCCACCAUCACCUCCCCUGCUCUCCUCUGGAGCAGGCAGCUUCUCAGAACCUGCUGACGCCAAACCCGUGAGCCUCAUCAUGGAGUUCACAGAGCUCUAGACGCUCCCUAAUCAAAGUGUAGUGACCUGGGAGCUGGUUAGAAAUGCAGAAUCUUGGGACCCACUCUAGGCUACCGAGUCAGAUUCUGAAUUUUUACAAGAUACCAGGUUGAUCUGUAUGCACAUUGAUGUUUGGGAAACGUGGGCCUAGAUGCUGAAUGCCUUUGGGAAGUAGGAAGGAAGGAAAUAGAAGCUCCCCGGGGGGAGGGGGGGCGGCUCCUCUGAGGGGAAGACAUGCCCACAGGCCUGUUCAGUGGAGGGAGGUGGACGCUGAGGAAAAGGCUAAGGAAGGCCCUCUAGGACAGCAUGCUGAAAUAGGCGCCUUUAAUGAUUUUAGUUUUAUUUUAAUUUCAUUUUUAAUAGGUAAUUCACUUUCACAUUAAAAUUCUAAGGGUACAGAAGGGUCUGUCAGACAUAGUUUCUUUCCCACACCUAUCUCCCAGCCACUUCCCCUCAAAGGCAACCUCUGUUACUAGGCCGGAGAUAAGACAUGUUGUGCAGAUAAAAGUGUGUGUGUGUGUGUUCUUCCUCACCGGACCCCUUCUAAAAGAUCCCUAUGGUAGCCCACCACACAUAGUAUCUGGACCUUGCUUUUUUAACUUAAUAUAUCUUGGAGAUCGUUCUAUAUUAAUAUGUAAAGAUAAUCCUAGAUUGUAUUUCAGCUGCAUAUUAUUCCACUCUAAGAACGGACCUCAAUUUAUAAUGCCAGGCCCCCACUGAUGGACUUUUAGG